AUAUUGUCGGUGGGAAAUUAGUGUGAAAUUCACUUGCUGUUCCUGCAACGGUUAAAGUCCGAAUGCCACCCAAUAAAGUCCGCUGUGAAUGAAGGCCAGGAAAAGUCUAAUUCUACAAUGAAAAA
rnacentral:ncRNA from 1 species